UGGGCUUGUAUGAAUGGACUAACGAGAGUAAAGCUGUCUCUUUAAGAUAAAUCGAAAUUAACUUGCAGGUGCAGAGGCCUGUAUAAAAAUGAAAGACAAAAAGACCCUAUCGAGCUUAAACUAAAAACUAAAUUAUAUUUCUAUAUCCAAACCCUAGAGAAAAGUUUUUGUUGGGGCGACACGAGAGCAAAAAAAGCCUCUCUAUCCUAUAAAGGUUUCACGCCAAUAAAUGACCCAACCAAUUGAUCAAAAGACAAAGCUACCGUAGGGAUAACAGGCUAAUCUUUUCUAAGAGCCCAUAUUGACGAAAAGGAUUGGCA
rnacentral:rRNA from 1 species